rnacentral:tRNA from 1 species
AGGCCUGUAGCUCAACUGGUAGAGUGCCACCCGACACUGUGGAAGUUAUAGGUUCGAAUCCUGUCAGGCCUACCA